rnacentral:rRNA from 1 species
AGCAGCCGCGGUAAUUCCAGCUCCAAUAGCGUAUAUUAAAGUUGUUGCAGUUAAAAAGCUCGUAGUUGAAUUUCGGAAUCGACGGAUUGGUCGUGCCUUUGGUGUGUACUGGUCUUGCCGGUUUCUCCCUUUUGACGAAUCACGAUGUCAUUAAUUUGGUGUCGUGGGGAAUCAGGACUGUUACUUUGAAAAAAUUAGAGUGUUUAAAGCAGGCAUUAGCUUGAAUACAUUAGCAUGGAAUAAUGAAAUAGGACGUUUGAUCUUAUUUUGUUGGUUUCUAGGAUCGACGUAAUGAUUAAUAGGGAUAGUUGGGGGCAUUAGUAUUCAAUUGUCAGAGGUGAAAUUCUUGGAUUUAUUGAAGACUAACUACUGCGAAAGCAUUUGCCAAGGAUGUUUUCAUUAAUCAAGAACGAAAGUUAGGGGAUCGAAGACGAUCAGAUACCGUCGUAGUCUUAACCAUAAACUAUGUCGACUAGGGAUCGGAUGAUGUUAAUUUUUUAAUGACUCAUUCGGCGCCUUACG